rnacentral:rRNA from 1 species
AGUGAACGCUGGCGGUAGGCCUAACACAUGCAAGUCGAACGGCAGCACAGUAAGAGCUUGCUCUUACGGGUGGCGAGUGGCGGACGGGUGAGGAAUACAUCGGAAUCUACUUUUUCGUGGGGGAUAACGUAGGGAAACUUACGCUAAUACCGCAUACGACCUACGGGUGAAAGCAGGGGAUCUUCGGACCUUGCGCGAUUGAAUGAGCCGAUGUCGGAUUAGCUAGUUGGCGGGGUAAAGGCCCACCAAGGCGACGAUCCGUAGCUGGUCUGAGAGGAUGAUCAGCCACACUGGAACUGAGACACGGUCCAGACUCCUACGGGAGGCAGCAGUGGGGAAUAUUGGACAAUGGGCGCAAGCCUGAUCCAGCUAUACCGCGUGGAUGAAGAAGGCCUUCGGGUUGUAAAGCCCUUUUGUUGGGAAAGAAGAGCAGCAGGUUAAUACCCCGCUGUUCUGACGGUACCCAAAGAAUAAGCACCGGCUAACUUCGUG